UNNGGAGCUCUCCCAUAUGGUCGACCUGCAGGCGGCCGCGAAUUCACUAGUGAUUAGAGUUUGAUCCUGGCUCAGAUUGAACGCUGGCGGCGUGCUUAACACAUGCAAGUCGAACGUGAAAGUCCUUCGGGGCGAGUAAAGUGGCGCACGGGUGAGUAACGCGUGGAUAAUCUACCCUUAAGAUGGGGAUAACGGCUGGAAACGGUCGCUAAUACCGAAUACGCUCCCGAUUUUAUCGUUGGGGGGAAAGAUGGCCUCUGCUUGCAAGCUAUCGCUUAAGGAUGAGUCCGCGUCCCAUUAGCUAGUUGGCGGGGUAACGGCCCACCAAGGCGACGAUGGGUAGCCGGUCUGAGAGGAUGACCGGCACACUGGAACUGGAACACGGUCCAGACUCCUACGGGAGGCAGCAGUGGGGAAUAUUGCGCAAUGGGCGAAAGCCUGACGCAGCGACGCCGCGUGAGGGAUGAAGGUUCUCGGAUCGUAAACCUCUGUCAGGGGGGAAGAAACCCCCUCGUGUGAAUAAUGCGAGGGCUUGACGGUACCCCCAAAGGAAGCACCGGCUAACUCCGUGCCAGCAGCCGCGGUAAUACGGAGGGUGCAAGCGUUAAUCGGAAUCACUGGGCGUAAAGCGCACGUAGGCGGCUUGGUAAGUCAGGGGUGAAAUCCCACAGCCCAACUGUGGAACUGCCUUUGAUACUGCCAGGCUUGAGUACCGGAGAGGGUGGCGGANUUCCAGGUGUAGGAGUGAAAUCCGUAGAUAUCUGGAGGAACACCGGUGGCGAAGGCGGCCACCUGGNCGGUAACUGACGCUGAGGUGCGAAAGCGUGGGUAGCAAACAGGANUANAUACCCUGGUAGUCCACGCUGUAAACGAUGGGUGCUGGGUGCUGGGAUGUAUGUCUCGNUGCCNNNNNNACGCGAUAAGCACCCC
rnacentral:rRNA from 1 species